AACGAACGCUGGCAGAAUGCUUAACACAUGCAAGUCUAAGGCGAACCUCGGGUUUAGCGGCCUAGCGAUGGCGAACGCGUGGGAAACUGCUAUUGGGCUCGGCAUACAUUCACGAAAAACAUACUAAAACCGGUUAAAGUACUCGGACAAAAGAGUUGUAGUCUUUGGCUGGGCCAGCGAUGGAGUAGCUAGAUGGUAGGGUAACGGCCUAUUACGUCGAUGAUCCAUAGCCGGUCGGCGAGGAUGAUCAGCCAGACUGGGACUGAGACACGGCCCAGACUCCUACGGGAGGCAGCAGUGGGGAAUAUUGGACAAUGGGCGAAAGCCUGAUCCAGCAAUGCCGCGUGAGUGAUGAAGGCCUUAGGGUUGUAAAGCUCUUUUACCCGAGAUGAUAAUGACAGUACCGGGAGAAUAAGCGCCGGCUAACUCCGUG
rnacentral:rRNA from 1 species